CCGCCGCAACAUACCACCGCCAUCUCUUCACCCCCCAUCCCUCACCAUUAACAGCCGACCACCCCCCUCAACUAAUUCAACCCAGCAACGACGAACACCACCAUCUCGCGCCGCACAACGACCAGUCGCCGCCAUCAAUUGCCGUUCGACCUGCUAUCAACUCCCGUUCGGUAGACUAUAUGAGACCUAAAUGCGGACGGACUAGCCAGAGAGCCUCAACUUCUAAAUCGCGAUGACAAAGAGGUAACCCUUCCCCUCCCCAAAAUCCUCAUGGUAUAGAAUUUGUCGAUGCACAACAAUAAUCUAGGUAUAAUGCACUGGUUAAGCGGGGAAUUCUGAGUACCCGCUAUUUGGAUGAGAUAUGUUUGCGUGAGUUAGGACUGUGGGAAGAUGUUUCAUAUCUCCUAAAACAGGUUGGUUGGAUAAAUUUUGUAGAAGCUAAACAUCCCACGUACGAACAUAUUACUCUCGAGUUUUUGAGUUCUCUUGAUGCUGUUUUGUUUAAUGGUGAGGGAGUAAAAGAAGGGAAAAUCACUUUCCGGCUAUUUAACCAGUCCCACACACUUACAUUAGGACAAUUAAAUGAGAUAUUUGGUUAUCCGGAUGGUGGGGCUAGAAUUGUCCCUAAACAUUUUAACUUGACCCCCUUUUGGACUUCCAUCGCACGCUCUACCACUCAAAGAACUUAUGAUCCCUUAAUGUCAAGGGCCUUUGUUGUUUAUAACCCAUGCUUUAGAUAUUUACAGUGGUUCAUGGCUUUCAUAAUUUUUGGUCGAGGCGAGAGUGAUGGAUCAUGUGUUAGAGAGAACUCUACCUCUUAUGUGCCAUGAUCGAGGGACACAAGGUUGACACAGGAGCUUUUAUGAUUCAUCAUAUGUGUCGUGCAGCGAGAGCAACGAGCGGAAAAAUUAUGUUUGGUGGUUUGAUUACCACCUUAGCUUACGAGAUAGGUUUAGGGGAGCUCGUAGAGGGACUUUAUCCUUUAAGCCCUAGUGCGUCUAUUAACCUAGAUGUUUGUCUUCAUAUGAAAUUGAUUAGCUAUAAGGGCAAUAGGUUAUUGUUAUGUUUUCAGGACAAUUAUCUUUUUCCACUCUGAUCCUGAUCGCAUGACCAUCCAUGUUCACGCAAAUUGGUGCUACUUCACAUCUGAUUUUAUGAAUUGUGAUGGUCACGAGGUUAUGCCAGCUGAGGAUGCUGACACAGUACCCUGAUCCCUAUCCAAUGUUAACCUGAUAGGGGAGUUAGCUCUUUCCACCACUCUGAUUGGUCAACGAAGUUAUCAGCUAUCAAUAUUUCUCUUGUCUCCCUUACUAACCGUGUAGGUGCCAUCGAGCAAGAGCAACAACGUCAAGGACAACUCUUGGACUCUAUGCACCGCAUGAUGCAGUCUAUUCAUGAGUGGCAACUCCGUCAGGAUGUCUCCGCUCCACCUCCUUCUGACCAGUGACUUGGUAUUGGCUCAAGAUUGAAAGAUUCGAUGAUCGUUGGAAGUUGAACAAGAGUUUGAAGCAACAACGAGAUUUGGAAUGCAUGGCUUGAGAAGGAAAUGGAUACACGAGUAUGAAGAACUGGAAUUUCGACCAUGAUGCAGUUCGAAUCCGAAAAAGCUCAAAAGAUAAAAGUUGUAGAUCUCUUCAACAACUUUUCAACGCAACUUGAAUCACUCCAUUCCGAGUCGGACGAAAAAGUUACAGCUAAAAUAUCAAAGACUGUACGAACAAGCAUGAAAUGUGCGAGACAGAUUCCACCACACCCGUGGUUUGGGUCUUAUCUUUUUCCAGAUUUUUUGCGACCUAUAAAUAUGUAUUUUAGCUUAGGGUUUAGGAUCUUUUGUUCUUGUUCUCUUAGCCGUCAAUUAGCAUCUAUUUUAGAGUUCAAGUAUUAAAGGAAGACACAAAUUUCUUGUACAAGAUUGGAUUGCAAAGCUAUAUUUUGAAGAUUUCAAUUGAAAGACGGGUUAUUUCUUUCCUCGCUUUAAUUAA